CAUUCGCAGCAUUUCAGCUGCUUGGCUAAGGAAGAUCUUAGUGUUUUUAUUAGACUGAAAUGUAAAUUUCUUGCAUUUAUGAUUAUUACUUAAAAUUAUAAUCACGUUUUGUGUUAGGUGAGACUCAAACUAUGCCUGUGAUGACACCACUGAAGCAUCUACAGCACAGAUGUCCACUCUUCUGUCAGAGUCCACAUGUCAGCCAGUACUAAGAAUUUUGCUCUGUUGCCCAGGCUGGAGUACAGUGGCAUGAUCUCAGCUCACUGCAACCUCUGCUUCCUGGGUUCAGGUGAUUCUCCUGCCUCAACCUCCGAA
rnacentral:lncRNA from 13 species